rnacentral:lncRNA from 1 species
AGUGAGUGAGCUGAUUUGAGUGAGAGGUGUCAUGUCGAUGGAGCCGGAGAGCCGGCUUAAUGUUUGCCUUGCCUGAUGGUGACCAGCUAGCAGAGCCUCUCUUCUUUAAAGAGCCUUGACACUCAACGUGCCACUUGCAUUGGUGGAAAAAAGGUACCCAAGGAAUAGGUUUUCCAAAGCAGGGCAAUAGGUGGGUGGAUGAGUAAUUACAAAAGACAUGCUGGCAGCUUGUAUGCAUUCUUAAAUGCAUUUCUACUGGGGUGAGGGCUUAAAGCCUGUGUGGUUUCUGGGUCCUUAUCCAGGGAGUUGUUGUUCAGUAGCUAAGUCGUGUCUGACUCUGCGACCCCAUGGACUACAGCACGCCGGGCUUCCUUGUUAUCCUUAUCCAUCAGAGGGCAGACAGAAAAAGUAAGAACUACAAUCCCAUGGCCUCCAGAAAGAAAACCACAAUCACAGAAAACUAACCAAAAUGAUCACAUGGAUCACAGCCUUGUGUAACUCAAUGAAACUAUAAGCCAAGCCAUACCAUGCAGGACCACCCAAGAUGGAUGGGUCAUGGUGGAGAGUUCUGACAAAAUGUGGUCCACUGAAGAAGGGGAUGGCAAACCACUUCGGUAUUCUUGCUUUGAGAACUCCAUGAACAGUAUGAAAAGGCA